UCUUCUUCUUCGUUUGAACCGCCCAAAUCCACAAAACACUGGAAGCGUUACCUUCGUUUGCCCUACCAUUCUCUUUCCUCCUCACUUCCAUGGCUUCCUUCGCUUCCCUCGCUCCGCCUCCUUCUCCUCCUCGAUAUUCUGGUGCUCCCAUCGGCCGUUCGAAAGGCCACCACCGCCCCGCUCCGACUCCCUCCCAACACCUGGUUCCCAUCCCGCUUCUUUCCUCGUUUCCACGAUCGUUCCGAUCGCGCAGUCGGCUGAUUCCUCCUGCCGUAUGCAGUGCUUCUGAGGGAAUCAUGUGUAGCAUCCAACAAUUCGCAACUAAGAGGAGGAAUCUGUUGCUCACGAUGUUUCUUGCUUCAGUCUCUCUGCCCUUGGUGGCUACGGAUGCUUCAGCUGAUACUGAGCUUGAGGAGAGUUUUCAGACGUACAAAGACGAAGUGAAUAAGUUUCGCAUGUCGAUUCCAAAAGAUUGGUUAAUAGGCACCGGUGACAGUGACGGUAAUAGCCUCAAGUCAGUUACAGCGUUUUAUCCUAAUGAAGCAUCUGGUUCUAAUGUCAGUGUUGUAAUCACAGGGCUUGGUCCUGACUUUACAAGAUUGCAAUCUUUUGGAAAUGUGGAUGCUUUUGCAGAAACGUUGGUUAGCGGUUUAGAUAGAAGCUGGAGAAAUCCUCCAGGUGUCGCAGCAAAGCUGAUCGAUUCUAAAGCUGCAAAUGGAUUGUAUUAUAUCGAAUAUACAUUGCAAAUUCCCGGCGAAAAACGCAGACACAUACUAACUGCCCUCGGUGUAGCAUCAAAUGGUUGGUAUAACAGGCUCUACACAGUCACAGGACAGUACAUGGAGGAUGAAGCUGAAAAGUACCAGCCUUCUAUUGCAAAGACCGUAUCAUCGUUCAGAUUCAUAUGAGUAAUGGGAUUCUUAUACGCCGGCUAUCAACUGCCACGCCAACAAUCCCACCCCAACCUGAUUGCUUUUUCACGCAUUUAAUAUUAUAUCCCUUCCCUCUUCGAAACUUAACGUAUGAAAUGCGAAUAUCUGCUGACAAAGCAAUGGCAGCAUGAUUUUUCUCCAUGCCCUAUCAGUAAGUGUGUUUGUAAGUUUUCAUUGCUUUCGUUGUUACAGCGCUUAAAAAUGAGAAACAUCACAAUCUUGAUCUCCUUGAAAUUAUCAAUUUGAGUUACUUCAAGGAAGUAUCUGAAUAUUGUCAAUCAAUCAUUAAGUUAAGAUUCAAAAAUUUGGCCAAGGAA